GGCGCGUAGCUCAGCGGGAGAGCACCACGUUGACAUCGUGGGGGUCGCUGGAUAAUUCGCCACCA
rnacentral:tRNA from 1 species